rnacentral:rRNA from 1 species
GAUCCAGCAAUACCGCGUGUGUGAAGAAGGCCUUAGGGUUGUAAAGCACUUUCAAUUGGGAGGAAAACCUGUCGGUCAAUACCCGGCAGCUUGACAUUACCUUUAGAAGAAGCACCGGCUAACUCCGUGCCAGCAGCCGCGGUAAUACGGAGGGUGCAAGCGUUAAUCGGAAUUACUGGGCGUAAAGCGUGCGUAGGCGGUUCGUUAAGUCAGAUGUGAAAGCCCCGGGCUUAACCUGGGAACUGCAUUUGAAACUGGUGGACUUGAGUUGAGUAGAGGGGAGUGGAAUUUCAGGUGUAGCGGUGAAAUGCGUAGAUAUCUGAAGGAACACCAGUGGCGAAGGCGACUCCCUGGACUCAAACUGACGCUGAGGUACGAAAGCGUGGGUAGCAAACAGGAUUAGAUACCCCUGGUAGUCCACGCUGUAAACGAUGUCAACUAGCCGUUGGUCCUAUUUACAGGAUUAGUGGCGCAGCUAACGCAUUAAGUUGACCGCCUGGGGAGUACGGCCGCAAGGUUAAAACUCA